UUACAUUUUCCAGACAGAAGCUUUAAAAGAGCCAGUGUGUGAGUCAUCAUACCAGCUUCUGACCACUGGGGGGAUUCUGAGAGCAAAGCCAAGUUGAAGCCUCCAUCAGUCCUGGUCUCUGACAAACUAUGAAAAGCAGAGCCCCUGUUUACCACAUCGGACAUGAAGUCUUGAGUCUGCGUACUCCAGGAGCAGGUGGACAGGUGAGCCAUCUCCAAAGAAGCCUUGGCAGUCAGAGGUGUAAAGUCUGCCUGCUUGCCUUUCUCUGCUACAGAGGCCUGUGCGGGACAGCAGUACACACUGUGUCACAUAUCGAGUCCUAGUCCCGACCUCUAGUCUUGCUUCUGGACUGCUCGCCAUACCUUCCAGCUCCCCUGCUCACUUGCUGAACUUGCAAGGUUAAUUCACAAAAAUUCUAUGUAAAGUAGCCUCAGAAUGCAAAGCUGCCUAUGACAAAUGAAAACCAACAGUAGAAUUAAAGUGUGUCCUAUUUCAUGACAAUUUUCUAAAGCUUUGAAAUUGUCUGUGUAAACCUUAGCAAAUCCAGGACAUAAAGAAUAUCUUUUUGAUCUAACAUAAGAUUUUCAGGGAAAUUCAUAGUCACCAAGGGAAUUCACUUCUGCUAGGAAAGAAUUAGCAAAAGGUAGACUUCAGGGUCCUACUAAGAGCCUGUAGCCCUAGCAUAAGAUGAAAUUGUGGAACCCACAUGCUGAUGGUACUGGAAAAGAGGCCCUCAGGCCUUGCUGGUGGCACCAGGAAAUAAAUGACUGUCUCUGUAGAGCAAUAAAAUAACCUACUAUAAAUCAUAAACCU